GGAAAUGUGGGGCCACACACUGGGUGCGUCACAUCACUCCCACUACUGUCCUUCGAGAAGGUCUGAGGCUAGGACCAGCAAGGGAAGCCCUAGCAGGAUUCUCCCUGAGUGUUGGGGAGGUGACUUCCCAGAGGGCAGAGCUCCAUGGAAAGGAAACCUGGGCAGGAGAAGCUGACGACCCCAGGGGCCUGACAGACACCUCCCUAGUCCUAGCUUAGAACAGACUCGUGGACAGCCAAGAGUGUCCAGUGGCUGAAGUGAGUGCCUUACAGGCCUCACAACCCAACUCUACCCUUCC
rnacentral:RNase_P_RNA from 1 species